UACGUAGGGGGCAAGCGUUGUCCGGAAUCAUUGGGCGUAAAGCGCACGUAGGCGGCUUCUCAAGUCAGGGGUGAAAUCCUGGAGCUCAACUCCAGAACUGCCUUUGAUACUGAGGGGCUCGAGUCCGGGAGAGGUGAGUGGAACUGCGAGUGUAGAGGUGAAAUUCGUAGAUAUUCGCAAGAACACCAGUGGCGAAGGCGGCUCACUGGCCCGGUACUGACGCUGAGACGCGAAAGCGUGGGGAGCAAACAGG
rnacentral:rRNA from 1 species